GGGAGAAGGGUGGACCCUCCUGUGGGGAAGAGGGAGGAAAGAGGAGGAGGAAGAGAAAGGAAGGAAGGAAGGAAGAAUUCCAGGAUUUUUCCUACAAUGUUUAUUCUUUUAUAGCAAAGCGAAGGGAUUCGGACAAAGAGUAAUGAAGAUGAAGCUGCUGUGGAUUUAAAGCUGGGAGAGAUUUAGGUGUCUGGACUGACAGGCAGGCUCAGAGUCCCAGGGGUCAGUCUAGAUGGUCUCCACUGCUCCCUCACAAGAAAGAGAGGCCUUCAAAGGAAAGCCAGAGGGGUCUCAGCAGGAGAGGCUCCAGACUGCCAUUCUCCUCCUCCCCCCAAUCUAAAAUCUUGACCCUCUAUUUUUCAGAGGUCGCAAAAAAGAGACAGAAAUUCAUCAGUUAAUGGAAAAAAGCCCCUUCCUUUCCCACCAGGAAGCAGGAAGGAUGGCAGGAUUAAUUCAUGAGUGCUGAAGAAAAAGAGAUGAGGAAAAAUGGGAAUGCCCAACCACAGUGUAAUCGGGAAGGCGGAUUCUGCCGUGUCAGCCGAUGUCCUCUUGGAACUUCUAACAUUGGGAACCUGGGCUGUGGGUCGCUAUUGAAGUGUUGUAAAAGGACACGUGGAAAAUAAUGCUGUCUCCCUCUACGACCAUGGAUAUCUUCAACAUAUGGCCAAGCACCUGAGAUUGCUGCCUGCUAUCGCUUUAUCUUUCUUUAUCUAAAUAAAAUUGCUACCCAUCAAA